rnacentral:rRNA from 1 species
UACGAAGGGUGCAAGCGUUAAUCGGAAUUACUGGGCGUAAAGCGUGCGUAGGCGGUUUGUUAAGUCUGUUGUGAAAGCCCUGGGCUCAACCUGGGAAUGGCAAUGGAAACGGGCGAGCUAGAGUCAGGUAGAGGGUGGUGGAAUUCCCGGUGUAGCGGUGAAAUGCGUAGAGAUCGGGAGGAACAUCUGUGGCGAAGGCGGCCACCUGGACCAUGACUGACGCUGAGGCACGAAAGCGUGGGGAGCAAACAGG